UGGGGAAUUUUGGACAAUGGGCGAAAGCCUGAUCCAGCCAUGCCGCGUGAGUGAAGAAGUCCUUCGGGUUGUAAAGCUCUUUUAGUCGGAAAGAAAGAGUUGCAAUGAAUAAUUGUGAUUUAUGACGGUACCGACAGAAAAAGCACCGGCUAACUACGUGCCAGCAGCCGCGGUAAUACGUAGGGUGCGAGCGUUAAUCGGAAUUACUGGGCGUAAAGGGUGCGCAGGCGGUCUUGCAAGUCAGAUGUGAAAGCCCCGGGCUUAACCUGGGAAUUGCGUUUGAAACUACAAGACUAGAGUGCAGCAGAGGGGAGUGGAAUUCCAUGUGUAGCAGUGAAAUGCGUAGAGAUGUGGAAGAACACCGAUGGCGAAGGCAGCUCCCUGGGUUGACACUGACGCUCAUGCACGAAAGCGUGGGGAGCAAACA
rnacentral:rRNA from 1 species